rnacentral:rRNA from 1 species
GACGAACGCUGGCGGCGUGCUUAACACAUGCAAGUCGAACGGAACGGCCCUGCUUUUGUGGGGUGCUCGAGUGGCGAACGGGUGAGUAACACGUGAGUAACCUGCCCUUGACUUUGGGAUAACUUCAGGAAACUGGGGCUAAUACCGGAUAGGAGCUCCUGCUGCUUGGUGGGGGUUGGAAAGUUUCGGCGGUUGGGGAUGGACUCGCGGCUUAUCAGCUUGUUGGUGGGGUAGUGGCUUACCAAGGCUUUGACGGGUAGCAGGCCUGAGAGGGGGACCGGCCACGUUACGACUGAGAUGAGGCACGGACUCGAACGGGAGGCAGGGGAGGAGAGGAUUAUACAAGGGGCGGGGCCCUGAUGUAGCAAAGCAGCGUGGGGGAAGAGAGGCAGCGGGUAGGGUAGCACAGUCGUCUGAGACGAAGCGAGAAUGACGGUAACGGGUGAAGAAGCACCGGCUAACUACGUG